GAGUUUGAUCGUGGCUCAGGAUGAACGCUAGCGGCAGGCUUAAUACAUGCAAGUCGAGGGGCAUCAGCUUAUAGCAAUAUAGGGCUGGCGACCGGCAAACGGGUGCGGGACACGUACACAACCUCCCUUUAAGAGGGGGAUAGCCCAUAGAAAUGUGGAUUAAUACCCCGUAAGAUAGUGGGAUGGCAUCAUACUACUAUUAUAGUUACGACGCUUGAAGAUGGGUGUGCGUCUGAUUAGGUAGUUGGCGGGUAAAGGGACCCGACCAACGCCUUCGAUCAGUAGCUGAUGUGAGAGCAUGAUCAGCCACACGGGC
rnacentral:rRNA from 1 species